AUCGAACCUUAUCGAAGCUGCAGCGUCUUCUACAUAGCUGCUGUGGUAAAAAAAAAAAAAAAAAAAAAAAACCAGAGAAACAAUUUUCCUUGAUGGUUGCAGCUCUGUUUCCUGUAACUGAUCAUUUUGGGAAAAGACAGCU
ensembl:snoRNA